rnacentral:lncRNA from 1 species
AGAUGAAGUAUCUUAAUGAUAAUUUUAAGUUAAUAAGCAAGUUGUCAGGAAUUCAAGAGAGAAAGAUUUACAUCUUAAAGAGACUAGUUUACAGUAAAAAAUCACCAGAAUUCGAAUCUGGGGACUUGAGUUCAAGUCUUCCAAGUGAAGGGUUAGCUGUGAUUUGGGCCCAUGGUGAACCUUGCUAAGCUUCAGGUGGUCACUUAGUUUACCUCUCAGUGUCAUUGCAAGAAUGAAAGAAUGGAUGUGUGCAAAGGGCACUGCUUUUUCUACAAAACCCAGGUCUCCAUGUUCAAAUUCUCAUUGAACUUAUUUUGUUGAAUUAAUCGCAGCCAUGCCCAUGGAGGCGAGAACUAGACUUAAGAUGGUAAAGAUGAUGACUUCCAAGAAACCUGCUCUUAAACUGAAGGCUUCGUGGCAUGACGGUAAAGGCGUAAAUAUCAAAGCUAAGCUACCCAGAGGCUGCCAAGACCACCAGCAUUGGACACGCUCCUGUGAGAACACAAAGGAAGCAAUGGGGCUCAUGCCCACUCACCUACAUCUUUACCCUGUGUCAAUUCUUUGCACUCCUUAUUAGCUACUAUUGGAGUAAACAAGAGUAAAUACUACAUUGGAUUGUGUCCAAAUCGUCAUUCCUGCCCAUCACCAAAUCACGAGCAGACUUUGAAAUCUGACCUCCUUCGCUUGUAAUUUAUAGAUUGUUACAUGAGCUAAUAAAUGUCUCAAAGCCAAACUGGUGUAACUUUCA